GACGAACGCUGGCGGCGUGCUUAACACAUGCAAGUCGAACGGAAAGGCCCUGCUUUUGUGGGGUGCUCGAGUGGCGAACGGGUGAGUAACACGUGAGUAACCUGCCCUUGACUUUGGGAUAACUUCAGGAAACUGGGGCUAAUACCGGAUAGGAGCUCCUGCUGCAUGGUGGGGGUUGGAAAGUUUCGGCGGUUGGGGCUGGACUCGCGGCUUAUCGGCUUGUUGGUGGGGUAGUGGCUUACCAAGGCUUUGACGGGUAGCCGGCCUGAGAGGGUGACCGGCCACAUUGGGACUGAGAGACGGCCCAGUCUCCUACGGGAGGCAGCAGGGGGGAAUAUUGCACAAUGGGCGGAAGCCUGAUGCAGCAACGCCGCGUGCGGGAUGACGGCCUUCGGGUUGUAAACCGCUUUCGCCUGUGACGAAGCGUGAGUGACGGUAAUGGGUAAAGAAGCACCGGCUAACUACGUG
rnacentral:rRNA from 1 species